CCUGGAGCUCGCAGACCUGCCCCCUUACCACUCUGCUCUGAGCGGGGCGGAGCCCAGGCCUCCCCUGAGCCAUGCGGCUGCAGCACUCGACAGAUGCACCUG